rnacentral:rRNA from 1 species
UACGGAGGGUGCAAGCGUUGUCCGGAAUCACUGGGCGUAAAGGGCGCGUAGGCGGCUCAUGAAGGCUGUGGUGAAAGUCCGGGGCUCAACCUCGGAUCGGCCGUGGCGACUCGUGGGCUGGAGCACUGUAGAGGCGGGUGGAAUUCCGGGUGUAGCGGUGGAAGGCGUAGAGAUCCGGAAGAACACCGGUGGCGAAGGCGGCCUGCUGGGCAGUUGCUGACACUGAGGCGCGACAGCGUGGGGAGCAAACAGG